UACGGAGGGUGCAAGCGUUAUCCGGAUUCACUGGGUUUAAAGGGUGCGUAGGUGGUUCUGUAAGUCAGUGGUGAAAUCUCCGGGCUUAACCCGGAAACUGCCAUUGAUACUAUAGGUCUUGAAUUUUCUGGAGGUCAGCGGAAUAUGUCAUGUAGCGGUGAAAUGCUUAGAUAUGACAUAGAACACCAAUUGCGAAGGCAGCUGGCUACAGGAACAUUGACACUGAGGCACGAAAGCGUGGGGAUCAAACAGG
rnacentral:rRNA from 1 species